UACGUAGGGGGCUAGCGUUGUCCGGAUUUAUUGGGCGUAAAGAGCGUGUAGGCGGCCAUGUAGGUCCGGUGUGAAAACUCGAGGCUUAACCUCGAGAUGUCAUCGGAAACCAUUUGGCUAGAGUCCGGAAGAGGAGAGUGGAAUUCCUGGUGUAGCGGUGAAAUGCGCAGAUAUCAGGAAGAACACCAAUGGCGAAAGCAGCCCUCUGGGACGGUACUGACGCUGAGACGCGAAAGCGUGGGGAGCGAACAGG
rnacentral:rRNA from 1 species